rnacentral:rRNA from 1 species
GGACGAACGCUGGCGGCGUGCUUAACACAUGCAAGUCGAGCGGUAAGGUCCCUUUCGGGGGUACACGAGCGGCGAACGGGUGAGUAACACAUGGGUGACCUGCCCUCAGCUCUGGGAUAAGCCUGGGAAACCGGGUCUAAUACUGGAUAUGACUCCAUGACGCAUGUUGUGGGGUGGAAAGCCUUGUGCGGCUGGAGGAUGGGCCCGCGGCCUAUCAGCUUGUUGGUGGGGGAUGGCCUACCAAGGCGACGACGGGUAGCCGG